rnacentral:rRNA from 1 species
AUGCCGCGGUGAAUACGUUCCCGGGCCUUGUACACACCGCCCGUCACACCACGAGAGUUUGUAACACCCGAAGUCGGUGAGGUAACCUUUUGGAGCCAGCCGCCGAAGGUGGGAUAGAUGAUUGGGGUGAAGUCGUAACAAGGUAGCCGUAUCGGAAGGUGCGGCUGGAUCACCUCCUUUCU